CUCUGUCGGCGUGCCACUCCUUCCUUCUUCUGUAGCCAAGAGGAACCCGAGCAGCCAAGAUGCCGCCCAAGCAGGACAAGAUUUCCGACGACCCUCGGGUCUACAUCUACGGCGACACCAAGUUGCUGAUGGAGCUCCGCUCCGCGCCUUACGAUCCCAAGAAGAACGUCUGGGUCCCCGACGAUAAGGAAUGCUACAUCGCCGUGGAGGUGAAGGAAGAGAAGGGCGACAAGGUCGUGGUGCAGCUGCCGAAAGGCGCCACCAAGGACUUCCCCAAGGACAAGUUGGUGAUGAUGAACCCCUCCAAGUUCGUCUGCUGCGAGGACAUGGCCAACAUGACCUACCUGAACGACGCCUCUGUGCUGGCGACCCUCAGGGACCGUUACGCCAAUGGCCUGAUCUACACCUACUCCGGGUUGUUCUGCGUCGUGAUCAACCCCUUCAGGCGCCUCCCUCUCUACACGGAGGAGGUUGUUGGCAUGUACCGUGGCAAGAGGCGUCAGGAAGUGCCGCCUCACUUGUUCUCUGUGGCUGACAACGCCUACCAGAACAUGUUGAUCGACCACCAGAACCAGUCUAUGUUGAUCACUGGCGAGUCUGGUGCCGGUAAGACUGAGAACACGAAGAAGGUUAUCUCCUACUUCGCCUUGGUCGCUGCUCUGGGAGGCCCCAAGAAGGCCGAAGAAGAGAAGAAGAUCACCCUUGAGGACCAGAUCGUGCAGACUAACCCUGUACUGGAGUCCUUCGGUAACGCCAAGACUGUCAGGAACAACAACUCCUCCCGUUUCGGUAAAUUCAUCAGGAUCCACUUCAACACCAAGGGCAAGUUGGCUGGUGCCGACAUCGAGUCCUAUCUGUUGGAGAGGGUGCGUUUGGUCGAGCAGCUGCCUGGUAUGGAGCGUGGCUACCAUAUCUUCUACCAGCUGCUGUCCAGCGGCCUGAAGGAGGUCACAAAAAUGAUCAUGGUGAACGAAGACGCCCAUGAGUACAAGUUCUUGGAGAAGGGUGAGAAGACCAUCAAGAACGUGGACGACAAGGAGGAGAUGCUGUUGACGGACGAGGCCUUCGACGUGCUGGGCUUCACCCAGGACGAGAAGACCAACAUCUACAAGCUGACUGGUGGUCUUCUGCAUUUCGGCAACAUCAAGUUCAAGUCCAAGCCAAGGGAGGAGCAGGCCGAAUGCGACGGCACUGAGUCUGCCGACAAGAUGUGCUACCUGUACGGCCUGAACAGCGGUGAGCUGCAGAAGGGUCUGCUCAAGCCCAGGGUAAAGGUCGGCAACGAGUGGGUGGCAAAGGGCCAGAACUGCAACCAGUGCACCUACGCCGUCAGUGCUCUGGCUAAGGGCGUGUUCGACAGGCUCUUCAAGUUCCUGGUCAAGCGUUGUAACGACACCCUGGACACCAAGAUGAAGAGGGAGAACUUCAUUGGUGUGCUGGAUAUUGCCGGCUUCGAGAUCUUCGACUUCAACAGCUUUGAUCAGCUGUGCAUCAACUACACCAACGAGAAGCUGCAGCAGUUCUUCAACCACCACAUGUUCGUACAAGAGCAGGAGGAGUACAAGAUCGAGGGAAUCGAGUGGGAGACCAUCGAUUUCGGUAUGGACUUGGCCAAGACUCUCGCCCUGAUCGAAAAGCCCCUGGGUAUCCUGGCCAUUCUGGAGGAGCAGACUAUGUUCCCCAAGUCCAGCGACAAGACCUUCAUCGACAAGCUGCGUGACCAGCACUUGGGCAAGCACACCAGCUUCUUGAAGCCAAAGAAGCCCAAGAUCCCCAAGUACGAGGGUCACUUCGAUCUGGCUCACUACGCCGGCAACGUGACCUACAACAUCUGCGGCUGGCUGGAGAAGAACAAGGACCCCAUGAACGAGACUGUGAUCGGUUGCUUCAAGAAGUCCAACAACGAGCUCCUGAAGGAUCUCUACGCAGACUUCCUGACUGCCGAGGAUCAGGCUGCUGCCCAGAAGAAGUCUGGCGGCGGUGGCAAGAAGAAGGGCGGAGCUCUGCAGACCGCCUCUGCCACUCACAGGGACCAGCUGGCUAGGCUGAUGGCCACUCUGCACACCACCUACCCCCACUUCGUGCGUUGUCUGAUCCCCAACGAGCUGAAGACCGCAGGCAUCUUGGACGCCACCUUGGUUAUGCACCAGCUGACUUGCAACGGUGUACUCGAGGGUAUCCGUAUUUGCCAGAAGGGCUUCCCCAACAAGAUGGUCUUCAGGGAGUUCAGGCAGCGCUACAAGCCCGUGGACCCCGUCAUGGCCAAGGAGGUUCAGGACGACCGCGAGUGCUGCGUCAAGCUUCUGGAGGUGUCUGGCCUUCCCAGCGACGGCUACGGCGUGGGCAAGACCAAGAUCUUCUUCAAGGCCGGCCAGGUCGCCAAGCUUGAGGACAUCCGUGACGCUAAGCUGUCCGUCAUCAUGACCACCAUCCAGCAGCGCAUCCGUGGCAAACUGCAGCGUCUCGCUUACGAGAGGCUCAAGGAGCAGAGGGCUGCCCUGAAGAUGCUGCAGCGUAACGUGCGUAACUGGAUCAGCCUGCGCACCUGGGAGUGGUGGAAGCUGUUCUGCACCAUCAAGCCCCUGCUGUCUCAGUCCCGGGCAGAUGAGGAGCUCCGUGCCAAGGAGGAGGAGCUGACAGAGCUUAAGGAGGAAGUGGAGAAGGAGGAGACCACGAUGGCUGACAUCCAGCAGAAACUGACCGUGGCCGAGCAAGAGAAGAACGAGCUCGCCGCUCAACUGUCUGCUGAACAAACCAACACGGGUGACAUCGCCGACAGGGCCGAGAACCUCAUCAAGACAAGGCGGACAUGGAGCAGAAGAUCGUUGACUACAAGGAGCUUCUGCAGGAGGAGGAGUCCAAGAACUCCGAGCUCAGCGCCGCCAAGCGCAAGGUCGAGGGUGAGGUGGAUAACCUGAAGAAGGACCUGGAGGAGCUGGAGAAGACUCUGCAGAAGGUGGAGAAGGAAACUCGCGGUGUGGAGAACAGGGUUCGCACCACCUCGGAGGAGCUGGCAGCCCAGGAGGACCAGAUCGCCAAGCUGUCCAAGGAGAAGGCUAAGCUGGAACAGCUCAACGCCACCACCCUGGAGGAUCUGCAGAAGGAGGAAGACAAGGUCAACAACCUCAGCAAGCUCAAGGCCAAGCUCGAGCAGAACUUGGAUGACCUGGAGGAGAACCUGGAUCGCGAGAAGAAGGCGCGUGCCGAAGCCGAGAGGCUGAAGAGGAAGCUGGAGGGUGACCUGAAGGCCGCACAGGAGACUUUGGGAGGUCUGGAGAACGAGAAGGCCGACCUGGAGGAGCGCAUCAAGAAGAAGGAGUUCGAAAUCAAGGGCCUUGAGGCUAAGCUGGAGGAUGAGCAGGGUCUUGUCACAUCUCUGCAGAAGAAGAUCAAGGAACUGCAGGGCCGCAUCGAGGAGCUUGAGCAGGAGCUCGAGGCCGAGAGGAACGCCCGCGCCAAGGUCGAUAAGCAGAGGGCUGACCUGGCUCGCGAGCUCGAGGAUCUGGGAGACCGUCUGGAGGAGGCUGGUGGCGCUACCGCCGCCCAGGCUGAGGUCAACAAGAAGCGCGAAAUCGAGCUGCAGAAACUCCGCCGCGAACUGGAGGAGUCCAACAUGCAGCAUGAGGCCACCGUCGCUGCUCUAAGGAAGAAGCUGUCCGACGCCAGUGCUGAGCUGGGCGAGCAGGUAGAGAACCUGCAGCGCGUCAAGGCUAAGCUGGAGAAGGAGAAGACCACCCUCAAGAUGGAGGUGGAUGACCUGGCUACCAACGUCGAG